rnacentral:rRNA from 1 species
CCUACGGGAGGCAGCAGUGAGGAAUAUUGGUCAAUGGACGAGAGUGUGAACCAGCCAAGUAGCGUGAAGGAUGACUGCCCUAUGGGUUGUAAACUUCUUUUAUAAAGGAAUACAACGAGGCACGUGUGCCUUUUGGCAUGUACUUUAUGAAUAAGGAUCGGCUAACUCCGUGCCAGCAGCAGCGGUAAUACGGAGGAUCCGAGCGUUAUCCGGAUUUAUUGGGUUUAAAGGGAGCGUAGAUGGGUUGUUAAGUCAGUUGUGAAAGUUUGCGGCUCAACCGUUAAAUUGCAAUUGAUACUGGCUGUCUUGAGUGCAGGUGAGGUAGGCGGAAUUCGUGGUGUAGCGGUGAAAUGCUUAGAUAUCACGAAGAACCCCGAUUGCGAAGGCAGCUUACUAAACUGUGACUGACAUUGAUGCUCGAAAGUGUGGGUAUCAAACAGGAUUAGAUACCCUUGUAGUC